rnacentral:rRNA from 1 species
UACGUAGGGUGCAAGCGUUGUCCGGAGUUAUUGGGCGUAAAGGGCUCGUAGGCGGUCUGUCACGUCGGGAGUGAAAACUCAGGGCUUAACCCUGAGCCUGCUUCCGAUACGGGCAGACUAGAGGUAUGCAGGGGAGAACGGAAUUCCUGGUGUAGCGGUGAAAUGCGCAGAUAUCAGGAAGAACACCGGUGGCGAAGGCGGUUCUCUGGGCAUUACCUGACGCUGAGGAGCGAAAGUGUGGGUAGCAAACAGG